rnacentral:rRNA from 1 species
AACGCGAAGAACCUUACCAGGGCUUGACAUCCCCCUGACGGAUGUAGAGAUACAUCUUCCCUUCGGGGCAGGGGAGACAGGUGGUGCAUGGUUGUCGUCAGCUCGUGUCGUGAGAUGUUGGGUUAAGUCCCGCAACGAGCGCAACCCUUGUUGUUAGUUGCCAGCAUUAAGUUGGGCACUCUAACGAGACUGCCGGUGACAAAUCGGAGGAAGGUGGGGACGACGUCAAAUCAUCAUGCCCCUUAUGUCCUGGGCUACACACGUACUACAAUGGCGACUACAGAGGGCAGCAAAGCCGUGAGGCAGAGCCAAUCCCCAAAAGUCGUCCCAGUUCGGAUUGCAGGCUGCAACCCGCCUGCAUGAAGUCGGAAUUGCUAGUAAUGGCAGGUCAGCAUACUGCCGUGAAUACGUUCCCGGGUCUUGUACACACCG